AGGGGUAAACCUGAGAAACCCGAAAGGUCGAAGGGAGAAAUUCAUUCGCGUUUCGCCGUUGGCGGGAGACGGUCGUGUGACGGAGGACGUUCGCGUUUUCCGCACCUUUCGUCUGUCGAUCCGAUAGCGAACGCGUGCACUUUUCUCCUGGUAGGACGUCGCGAUCCGUUGGGUGUCGGUCUACGGCUCGCGGUGGAGCCCGGACGUACGGCUUGCCGUCACGUUCGGACCCGCGUGUCCCGGCUGACUCGCUCGACGGUAUACGAAAGGUUUAAGGCCGCUCUUUGAGCGUUCGGCUCGCUGCAAGCGCGUCAGAUGUGUCGGCGAUCGGACCUAGUGCCGGUUCUGACCUCUGGCGACUGUUGGCCGCGAAGUUCUCGAACAGACCUCUAGACCGAUCUGCGACGCUAUAGCUUUGGGUACUUUCAGGACCCGUCUUGAAACACGGACCAAGGAGUCUAGCAUGUGCGCGAGUCAUUGGGAAUCACUAAACCUAAAGGCGCAAUGAAAGUAAAGGUCCGCCUCGCGCGGACUCAGGGAAGACGGGCGGUUUACCCUUAAAAGUGGCCGCUCCGCACUCCCGGGGCGUCUCAUUCUCAUCGCGAGAAGAGGCGCACCAAGAGCGUACACGCUGGGACCCGAAAGAUGGUGAACUAUGCCUGGUCAGGACGAAGUCAGGGGAAACCCUGAUGGAGGUCCGUAGCGAUUCUGACGUGCAAAUCGAUCGUCGGAACUGGGUAUAGGGGCGAAAGACUAAUCG
rnacentral:rRNA from 1 species